rnacentral:rRNA from 1 species
AUUGAACGCUGGCGGCAUGCCUAACACAUGCAAGUCGAACGGCAGCACGGCAGUAGCAAUACUGUGGGUGGUGAGUGGCGGACGGGUGAGGAAUACGUCGGAAUCUGCCCAGUCGUGGGGGAUAACUAGCCGAAAGGUUAGCUAAUACCGCAUACGACCGAGAGGUGAAAGCGGGGGACCGCAAGGCCUGCGCGAUUGGAUGAGCCGACGUCGGAUUAGCUAGUUGAGGGUAAAGGCCACCAAGGCGACGAUCCGUAGCUGGUCUGAGAGGAUGAUCAGCCACACUGGAACUGAGACACGGUCCAGACU